CUCUGGACUGCAGCUCCCAGCCUGCACCGCUUCCGACUGGCUUCCGGGAAAGAGUGAGCUUGGGUACCUGCGCGCCCCGGGUUCUCCCGACUUCUUCGGGGGCAGGGCCGAUGGUUGUCUUGGUGACCGCUCCUAACGGUUCCGGUAGCCCCGAGAUCCUUGUUGAGAGGUUGCAGCCUGAGGUGCUGUCUGAAGACGCCACUGGUUCUUCCAAGUGUCCGCGGUGAAGCUGGUUUUAGCCUUAUAUGCGGAAUUGCUGGCGCUUGAGAGAAGAUUGAUUCAAAUCAUAAAAUGUCUCGAAAAAUUGCCAAGGAAUCAAAAAAAGUAAAUAUCUCUAGUUCUCUGGAAUCUGAAGAUAUUAGUUUGGAAACAACCAUUCAUACAGAUGAUGUUUCCUCAUCGGAAGAACGAGAGGGUAAAGUCAAAGUCACCAGGCAGUUAAUUGAAAGAAAAGAAAUACUUCAUAAUAUUCAGUUACUGAAAAUCGAGCUAUCCCAAAAAAACAUGAUGAUCGACAACUUGAAAAUGGAUUAUCUUACAAAGAUUGAAGAGCUGGAGGAGAGACUUAAUGACGCCCUUCACCAGAAACAGCUGCUGACCUUGCGACUAGACAAUCAGUUGACUGUUCAACAGAAAGAUGCCAAAAAAUAUCAAGAACUAAUGAAACAAGAAAUGGAAACCAUUUUAUUGAGACAAAAGCAACUGGAAGAGACAAAUCAUCAGCUAAGAGAAAAGGCUGGAGAUGUUCGCCGAAAUCUGCGAGACUUUGAGCUGACUGAAGAGCAGUAUGCGAAGCUAAAAUCUUUUCCUGAAGAUCAACUUUCUAUUCCUGAAUAUGUAUCUAUUCGGUUCUAUGAGCUAGUGAACCCAUUAAGAAAGGAAAUCUAUGAACUACAGGUGAAGAAGAAUGAACUCUCUGAAGACUUAAGUACAAGUAAAGGGCAACUGAAGCAGCUGACGGAGACAUAUGAAGAAGAUCGAAGAAACAACGCUGAACUUCUAACUCGAUGUCAACGUUUGACCUUAGAAUUAGCAGACACAAAACAGUUGGUUCAGCAAGGAGAUUACCGUCAAGAGAACUAUGACAAAGUGAAAAGUGAACGGGAUGCUCUUGAACAGGAAGUACUCGAGGUUAGAAGAAAACACGAAGUACUCGAAGCCUCUCACAUAGCUCAAGCUAAAGAAAGGAAUGAGUUAUCAAAAGAGGUCACCACCCUGCAGCAGACAGUCACCCUACUGCAGAAAGAUAAAGAGUACCUCAAUCGCCAAAAUAUGGAGCUCAGUGUACGAUGUGCCCAUGAGGAAGAUCGGCUUGAAAGGCUGCAGGUUCAAUUGGAAGAUACCAAAAAGGCUAGAGAAGAGAUGUAUGAGAAAUAUGUCUCGUCCAGAGACCAUUAUAAAACAGAAUAUGAAAAUAAACUACAUGAUGAACUGGAACAAAUCAAAUUGAAAACUAAUCUAGAAAUUGAUCAGCUUCGAAGUGCCUCUAGGGAAAUGUAUGAACGAGAAAACAGAAAUCUCCGUGAAGCACGAGAUAAUGCUCUCGCUGAAAAGAACCGAGCCAUGGCAGCAGAAAAAGAUGCUCUAGAAAAGCAUGAGCAGCUGCUAGACAGGUACAGAGAACUCCAGCUUAGUACAGAAAGCAGAGUGUCCGAGUUUCUCCAUCAGAGUAAGCUGAAGUCCUUUGAAAGUGAGCGUGUUCAACUCCUGCAAGAGGAAACUGCAAGAAAUCUUACACAGUGCCAGUUGGAGUGUGAAAAAUAUCAGAAGAAAUUGGAGGUUUUAACUAAAGAAUUUUAUAGUCUCCAAACUUCUUCUGAAAAACGCAUUACCGAACUCGAGGCCCAGAACUCAGAGCAUCAGGCAAGGUUAGACAUUUACGAGAAGUUGGAAAAGGAGCUUGAUGAAAUAAUAAUGCAAACAGCAGAAAUUGAAAAUGAAGAUGAGGCUGAAAGAAUUCUUUAUUCCUAUGGCUAUGGUGCUAAUGUUCCCACAACAGCUAAAAGACGACUGAAGCAAAGUGUCCACUUGGCAAGAAGAGUUCUUCAGUUAGAAAAACAAAAUUCAUUAAUUUUAAAAGAUCUGGAACAUCAAAAGAACCAAGUAAGACAGCUUUCACAAGAGCUUGACAGAGCCAAUUCACUGUUAAAUCAGACUCAGCAACCCUACAGAUACCUCAUAGAGUCUGUGCGGCAGAGGGAUUCCAGGAUUGACUCACUGACAGAGUGCAUAGCUGGACUGGAAAGAGAUGUCAGCAACUUAAAUAAAGAAAAAUCAGCGCUGCUGCAGACGAAGAACCAGAUGGCACUGGAUUUGGAGCAGCUUCUAAAUCACAGAGAGGAAUUUGCAGCUAUGAAGCAGAUCAUCAUUAAUAUGUGUAAUAAACAUUCUGAGAACAACUUACUUCUUACAAAAAUGGAGUCAACAAGUGUGCCAGAAAAUCAAGCAAAGGCUUUGAACAUGCCAAGAGAACAUGAAGAGAAUAUAUUUAUACCCAAGCCAACGCUGUUUGUCCUCAAGCUUCCUGGGAUUUUUCAGUCUCCACCUCCCAUCUCAUGCCUAGGAUUCUGAGAUUCUAGACUUGCAUCACUGCAUCCAACUGUAGUGGAUGCUAGGAAUCCAAACUCAGAUUCUGUGGUUACAGACCCAUGCUGCCCCCAAGCUUCAGAACGCUCCAGUCUACAUCAGACAGAGGAACCCUACUGUAAGGGUAUACAUUGCAGAGAUGGAGGCCAAGGAGAACAGCAAGUCAACUGAGUGCUCUCUUUAAGGGACAGCUUGGGACGCUCCGCAGCCGUGGCCCCUGAGCGCCCAUCCACUGUGCGUGCUCAUAGACUCCUUCCUUCCUCUGACCUAGUCAAGGCCCUAGUCUCAAGACACCUUCUGUACAUUCUUUACAUGUUCACUGGAAGGGAAGAAAUCGGUUCUUUAUCUCUCCAGUUUGGUUGUCUAAGAAGCUCUUAAAACCACAUUACUCAGUAGGGAACUAAACUCUGGGAAGCGAGGGCCAUCUGCAAACUAGAGUUAGCAGUGCCUUGCAACUGCAGCACCCAGUGGGUGCCUCUCACUCGGAAACCCACCGCUCAGUUGGGCAUGAUAUCUCCCGCCUGUGUUCUCAGCAUUUGGGAGGCCAAGGCAGGAUGCUAGCCUUAAGUUUGAGGCCAGCAUGAGUUACAUAGUGAAUUUCAGGCCAGGGUGGACUACAGAAUGAUAGAACCUAUCUGAAAAAAAAAAAAAAAGAAUGACUUAAUUUUUAUUUCUAAAGUCAGAAAUACAACUGUAGCUUCUUCCAUAUGUAGUUUAAGCCAUUUGAAAUAAAUCUCUGAGUGAACGUGGGAUGAGGGCGUAAGGGGCAAAUGAUUGCAGACAGUCUAUUUUGUCCGUACAAACCCAGACCGACUGGAACUCCUUGAAGGUGGGCUCUACCUGUGAAGAGUCAGAAAGCCAUCACUGUGUCCUAGCCUGUCCUACUAGAAAACAGAAGGAUUAUGGCGACGACACAGUCUUUCUCUUCCUUAAAAGAGAUGCUGGUUAAACACUAAGAGAGUCUUAAUCUCCAGCUCCUUCCCUGGAUGCCAGGAGUAAUCCAGCAGGCUUACUCUGUCUGCUUUUAUCAGUCACUCUUCCUUCUCAUUUUAACCAACUUUCUCAGUGUGUUAGAAUCCCCGAGUUAUAGAUUAAUGCCUUAGAUGGCUAUGUCUGGAUGACACAAAGGUUUUUGUCUUAUCAGUUGAUCGUCUCCAAAAACCCCCUGGGAGUAGUGAAUUACUUCUGGUAGGCUCCCAGUUAAUCUGGUCAUGGGUUUCUACGGCAGCUCUCUGAGUGCCUCACAAAAUGUGGAGUAGUUCACUUUGGGACUUGUUAACAUUGUAACAAUUAAAGUAUUUUUAUUAAUUUGUACUGUUUCUCUAUAAAAUUAUAAAUAUAAUUAACUUAAGCAAGUGCAAGCAUAUAAUAAUUAAGGCAGUGUUCACAGUAAUAAAAAAUAAUCAUUAAGUAUGUCUCUGAAAUGUUACAUACAUAAAUAAAUGGAAAUUGGCUU